CUACGGGUUGCAGCAGUGGGGAAUAUUGGACAAUGGGGGAAACCCUGAUCCAGCAAUGCCGCGUGUGUGAAGAAGGCCUGCGGGUUGUAAAGCACUUUCGGUUGGGAGGACUGCUUCUAGCACUAAUAUUGUUGGAAGUUGACGUUACCUUCAGAAGAAGCACCGGCUAACUCCGUGCCAGCAGCAGCGGUAAUACGGAGGGUGCAAGCGUUAAUCGGAAUUACUGGGCGUAAAGCGCGCGUAGGCGGCUAGAUCAGUCGGGUGUGAAGGCCCCGGGCUUAACCUGGGAACUGCAUCCGAUACUGUCUAGCUUGAGUACAGGAGAGGAGAGUGGAAUUCCACAUGUAGCGGUGAAAUGCGUAGAUAUGUGGAGGAACACCAAUGGCGAAGGCAGCUCUCUGGCCUGAUACUGACGCUGAGGUGCGAAAGCGUGGGGAGCAAACAGGAUUAGAUACCCCAGUAGUC
rnacentral:rRNA from 1 species